UAGGGAAUCUUCGGCAAUGGACGAAAGUCUGACCGAGCAACGCCGCGUGAGUGAAGAAGGUUUUCGGAUCGUAAAACUCUGUUGUUAGAGAAGAACAAGGACGUUAGUAACUGAACGUCCCCUGACGGUAUCUAACCAGAAAGCCACGGCUAACUACGUGCCAGCAGCAGCGGUAAUACGUAGGUGGCAAGCGUUGUCCGGAUUUAUUGGGCGUAAAGCGAGCGCAGGCGGUUUCUUAAGUCUGAUGUGAAUGCCCCCGGGUCAACCGGGGAGGGUCAUUGGAUACUGGGCCACUUGAGUGCAGAAGGGGAGAGUGGAAAUCCAUGUGUCGCUGUGAAAUGCGUAGAUAUAUGGAGGAACAUCAGUGGCGAAGGCGGUUCUCUGGUCUGUAACUGACGCUGAGGCUCGAAAGCGUUGGGGGCAAACAGG
rnacentral:rRNA from 1 species